rnacentral:rRNA from 1 species
UACGUGGGUGGCAAGCGUUGUCCGGAUUUACUGGGCGUAAAGAGCGCGCAGGCGGUCGUUCAAGUCGCGUGUGAAAGCCCCCGGCUCAACUGGGGAGGGUCACGCGAUACUGAUCGACUCGAAGGCAGGAGAGGGUAGUGGAAUUCCCGGUGUAGUGGUGAAAUGCGUAGAUAUCGGGAGGAACACCAGUGGCGAAGGCGGCCCGCUGGGCAGUGGCUGACGCUGAGGCGCGACAGCGUGGGGAGCAAACAGG